rnacentral:lncRNA from 1 species
GUUUAAUUAAUAUGCAUAAAAGAGACCAUGGCAUGCUACUACAAUGUAGCUGUCUCAUUGGCAUUCAUACCACAUCUUGUCUAUAUAAGAGUCUAAUUUGUGGUAAAAAUAGUCCUCUAUGUGUUUCUAACAGAGAUAAAGAUCCAUGGUCUCAUGUGUGUAAUUCGCAUAAAAAAGACCAUGGCAUGUUAAUGACAGUCCAAUAGGUCCAUGGCACCCAUGGUGUUGCUUAUGUUAACUUCGAAACACUCAAUUAUGUAUGAUUUCCCAACUAAAAGACAUUUCAGAAUAUUCACCCAACUAAGAACUGGCUAUACAGAACUCAACUACUACAAGAACCGAGUAGGCCAAACCAACGCCAUAGAGUCAUGCAACUGUGAAGCUUCUAAAACGCCUCAUCAUUUCCUCUGGUGUGUCCCUGCUAUGAGAACAAACAUGAAUAUAUGUUACACCAAAUAUUCAAAGAGGUCAGGGUAAGAAACCUCAAUCUUCUAUUUCUAACGAGACUGAACAGCGAGAACACAGAAAGGACAAAAGCCAAACUACUAACAGUGGCACAUUACAUUCACAGAACAGGCAGAUUUAAUACUGCUGUUAUACUGCUGUUCCUCAAUCAGGACAAUCUUAACCAGCGCAUACUAAUUUAAACCACAGAGAACAUGGAGAGAAAAAAAUGUUGAGAAAAACUACACAUUGAGACAUUUCAUGCUAACAGGCC